rnacentral:tRNA from 2 species
GAUGGUGUAGCUCAGUGGUAGAGCAGUUGGCUGUUAACCAACUGGUCGAUGGUUCGAAUCCAUCCACCAUCG